GAUGAACGCUGGCGGCGUGCCUAAUACAUGCAAGUCGAGCGAACGGACGAGAAGCUUGCUUCUCUGAUGUUAGCGGCGGACGGGUGAGUAACACGUGGAUAACCUACCUAUAAGACUGGGAUAACUUCGGGAAACCGGAGCUAAUACCGGAUAAUAUUUUGAACCGCAUGGUUCAAAAGUGAAAGACGGUCUUGCUGUCACUUAUAGAUGGAUCCGCGCUGCAUUAGCUAGUUGGUAAGGUAACGGCUUACCAAGGCAACGAUGCAUAGCCGACCUGAGAGGGUGAUCGGCCACACUGGAACUGAGACACGGUCCAGACUCCUACGGGAGGCAGCAGUAGGGAAUCUUCCGCAAUGGCGAAAGCCUGACGGAGCAACGCCGCGUGAGUGAUGAAGGUCUUCGGAUCGUAAAACUCUGUUAUUAGGGAAGAACAUAUGUGUAAGUAACUGUGCACAUCUUGACGGUACCUAAUCAGAAAGCCACGGCUAACUACGU
rnacentral:rRNA from 1 species